rnacentral:rRNA from 1 species
GUUCCUUAAGUGGGGAAUACGCAUCGAAAGAUGUGCUAAUACCGCAUAUCUCUCAGGAGGAAAAGCAGGGGAUCGAAAGACCUUGCGCUAAAGGAGCGGCUGAUGUCUGAUUAGCUAGUUGGUGGGGUAAAGGCUUACCAAGGCAACGAUCAGUAGCUGGUCUGAGAGGACGACCAGCCACACUGGGACUGAGACACGGCCCAGACUCCUACGGGAGGCAGCAGUGGGGAAUUUUGGACAACGGGCGAAAGCCUGAUCCAGCCAUGCCGCGUGAGUGAAGAAGGCCUUCGGAUUGUAAAGCUCUUUUAGUCGGAAAGAAAGAGUCAUAGUAAAUAGCUAUGAUUUAUGACGGUACCGACAGAAAAAGC